rnacentral:rRNA from 1 species
GACGAACGCUGGCGGCGUGCUUAACACAUGCAAGUCGAACGGAAAGGCCCUUUUGGGGGUACUCGAGUGGCGAACGGGGGCGUAACACGUGAGUAACCUGCCCUUUACUUCGGGAUAACUGCAGGAAACUGGGGCUAAUACCGGAUAGGAAUCCUUGCUGCAUGGGGGGGGUUGGAAAGCUUCUGCGGUUUUGGAUGGACUCGCGGCCUAUCAGCUUGUUGGUGGGGUAGUGGGGUACCAAGGCGUCGACGGGCAGCCGGCCUGAGAGGGUGACCGGCCACAUUGGGACUGAGAUACGGCCCAGACUCCUACGGGAGGCAGCAGUGGGGAAUAUUGCACAAUGGGCGGAAGCCUGAUGCAGCAGGGCCGCGUGCGGGAUGACGGCCUUCGGGUUGUAAACCGGUUUCAGCAGGGGCGAAGCUUGUGGUGACGGUACCUGCAGAAGAAGCACCGGCUAACUACGUG